rnacentral:rRNA from 1 species
CCUGAGAAACCCAAAAGAUCGAAUGGGGAGAUUCAUCGUCAGCUCAUUUUGUAUAUAUAUAAGUUAUGAUGUGGGUUACUCUUGUAGUAUUGCCUGUACAUUCUUAUAUAUUUAGUUGCAAGAUGUUGUCGGCGUGCACUUCUCCCCUAGUAGGACGUCGCGACCCGUUGAGUGUCGGUCUACGGCCCAAAUGGGAGCCUUCAAUGUUUUAAUAUACAUUAAAGACCUUUGGUGUUUCCUGACCGACUACUCGGCGGUACUCGUACGGUAUUAAGCCGCAUAUUUUGUGCGUUCAUACCCGUCGCAAGCGAGGUUAAUUUUUGGCAGUGCGGACCUAGUGCCGUCGCUAAAACUAACCAGCUGUUGGUUGUACGGUGUUCUUGAACUGGCUAAAAAUUUUACCGGUCGGCGAUGCUACUGCUUUGGGUACUUUCAGGACCCGUCUUGAAACACGGACCAAGGAGUCUAACAUGUGCGCGAGUCAUUGGGAUUUUUAAAAAAUUAAACCUAAAGGCGUAAUGAAAGUAAAGGUCGUCCUUGCGUCGACCGAGGGAGGAUGAGUUGUAUUAAGAUACAGCUUCGCACUCCCGGGGCGUCUCAUUCUCAUUGUGAGAAGAGGCGCACCUAG